ACACUUCUACUGAUGUGACGAUAGUGGAGGGGAGGGCAGUAGCAAAGUCUGCACAGAUACAAAAACUGAAAGUAUGUUCAGUACAAGAGGCAGAUCCACUGGAUGUGGGUCUUGUCACCGAUGAGCCAGAGGAUCUCAGCUGCAGAAUUCAAGACGAGAGAAAAAGCGCAACCUCACUGCCUCAGGGCUACCUAUCUUCUGCCUGGCUGGCGUCAAGGUGCGGAGACGAGGGAGGGAGCGCCCACUCGGUUAAAACUAUCUAACAAAAUUACAUCCCGGUGACUCCGCACCUACCUUGGUAGAGACAUAGAGGUUGGGAUGGCGAAGGAAACGAGAGGGAAAGCCGCUUCCCGCAAGCACAGUAUCUCCCACUGGCGGAUGCAGGACAUUGCACAGGAGUCCGUUGACAGCUCAGAUGAGGAGUUUUUCGAUGCCAGAGCAGAUGUGCUGGAGGGGAAGAGUGCCAUCCUCCUGGGGAUGAGUCAGUGGAACUCCAACGACCUGGUGGAGCAGAUCGAGACCCUGGGACACAUGGACCAAUCACAAGAGAGCCUUUAUCACCUGGGGCGUCGUCGCUGUGUCCCUCAGAGCAGCAUUGACGGGUUAGAGGACAUGGAGAAGACCCAGUGUAAGACCCACGUGUUGCUGCUGGUGAUGCAUGGUGGGAACAUCCUGGAUACGGCAGGGGGAGACCCUGGCACCAAGGCUGGCGAUGCCACUACGCUGUCCUCCGUGCUGGAAAAGGUGGCUCGGGCACACUUCCAGGCCGCUGCAGAACAUGUGAUGAUCAAGCUAGUGGCCUGCCCAGCUGUGUGUGCCGAGGCCUUCUCCCUCGUCUCCAAUCUGAACCCGUACAGCUAUGACGAGAGCUGUGUGUCCAGCAGCGUUGACCACCUGCCCCUGGCCGCCCUCCCGCUCCUUGCCAUCGCAGCGCCAAACUACCAGGACGCCGUGGCAACUCUCAUCACCCGCACCAACCAGGUCUACCACAGCUUCCUCGAGUCCCAGGACGGACAGGGCUUCACUGGCCAGGUGUGUGUGAUGGGCGACUGUGUGGGAGGUGUGCUGUGCUUCGACGCCCUGUGUUUCAGCAGCAGCAGUAGUAGCAGCCAGAGGCAGCACAGCAGCCCCAGCCACAGCAGCAGCAGGAACAACAGCACUGAGAGCCUCAAGGAUAACCCUGAGGACAGCCCCUGUCACAGCCCCAGCCUGGGCCUCAGCUCCAGUAAGAGGCUGAGUAAGAGCAACAUUGAUAUCUCGGCCCUGCCCAGUGAUGGACACAGCCAGGCCAGACAGCCCCUCAGCAGGAAACAGAGCGACUCGUACGAUGGAGACACAUCUACAGGACAACACAGCUUCUUCAGCAGUCUGAUGCAGGAGGGGGGGGACCUGCAUCCCGGCAGCAGCAGUAGUCUGAUUUUGAACCCAGGGAGGUUUGACUUUGAGGUCUCCGAAUGUUUCCUGCUGGGCUGUCCACUGGGCCUGGUGCUGGCCAUGAGACGUACAGUACUGCCUGCUGUCCAGGUAAGCCAACUCCGUCCUGCCUGCAACCAGAUCUUCAACCUGUUCUACCCCUCGGACCCCUCUGCCUCCAGACUGGAGCCCCUGCUGGAGCCCCUCUUCCACAAGCUGCCCCCCUUCCCCAUGCCGCGCUACCAGCGCUACCCCCUGGGAGACGGACGCUGCACACUAAUAGCUGACGGUAUCCAGAGCCACCCAGAGGUGUUCCUGGAGGCAGAGCCCAAUCCUGGUGACCCGACCGUGCCCCCUUCCCCUGAAACAGACAGUGGGAGGGGAGGAGGAGGGGGAGGGCGCAGGGCCAGUGUGUCCAGCAUGGACAGUGAGACGUCCUUCUGCUCUGUGGGCCGGAUGAGUAGUAUCAUCACCAACAUUUCCAGUAGCUGGUGGGGCUCUAAGAGGUUGGACUAUUCUCUGUACUGUCCAGACGUGCUGACCUCCUUCCCCACUGUGGCACUGCCUCAUCUCUUCCAUGCCUCCUACUGGGAGUCCACUGAUGUAGCUGCGUUUGUGCUCCGACAGCUCAUGCGAUGCGACAGUGUUAAGACCCAGGAAGCUGACAGCAAGGACUCAGCCCCCUUCUCUCCAUCUAGCCCACGGGAGAAGUGGCUUCGCAGGAGGACGCCUGUCAAACUGAGGAAUGUGACUGGCAACCACAGGGUGAAUGAUGUCAUCACCACAGAGGAGGGACCACAGACUCUGGUUGGUCGGUUCAUGUAUGGCCCCUUGGACAUGGUGACUCUGACUGGAGAGAAGGUGGACAUUCUCCUAAUGACCCAGCCCCAGUCCGGCCGCUGGGUCCACUUUGACACAGAGGUGACCACCAGUAGUGGCAGAGUGGUCUACACCAUCCCCAAGAGCAAGAAGCUGGCAACCGGGGUCUACCCUAUCAAAAUGGUGGUCAAGGGAGAUCAGACGAGUGCGGAGGCCUAUCUGACGGUGCUGCCCAGGGGGAUGGAGUGUGUGGUAUUCAGCAUCGAUGGCUCCUUCGCUGCUAGCGUCUCCAUCAUGGGCAGCGACCCUAAAGUCCGUCCCGGAGCUGUGGACGUAGUCAGACACUGGCAGGACCUGGGCUAUCUUAUCAUCUACAUCACAGGGAGGCCAGACAUGCAGAAGCAGCGUGUGGUGUCAUGGCUGUCCCAACACAACUUCCCCCAGGGCAUGAUAUUCUUCUCUGAGGGCCUGGUCCACGACCCACUGAGACAGAAAACCAUCUUCCUCAGGAACCUAGUGCAGGAGUGUCACAUUAAGAUCAACUCAGCCUAUGGCUCCAUGAAGGACAUCUCCGUGUACAACAUGCUGGGUCUGAGUCCUUCCCAGAUUUAUAUUGUGGGCAGGCCUUCCAAGAAGUACCAGAAUCAAUGCCAGUUCCUAAGUGAUGGCUAUGCAGUGCACCUCUCCUCACUGCAGUUUGGCCACCGGGCCAGACCCAAGAAGCUUUCCUCAGUACGCAUGGUCCUGAAGAAAGGCUCCUUCGGCCUCACUGCCAAACCUGACUUCCUGUGUAAACGCACCCACCUGAGGAGAACUAUGUCUGUCCAACACCCUGAUCCUCCCUGCACCCCCAACCCCAAGCCUGAGCGGGCCCAGAGCCAACCAGAGUCUGACCAGGACCCCGGGGGAGGAGGAGGAGGGGGCGGCGGCCAUGGUGUCUGGGGGCGUGCCUCCAUGCACCGUGGAGACACGACACCCUGACGGACAGAGAGAGAUGGAGGGAGGAUGGAAGAGGAGGAGGACAGGGGUCUCAGUGUCCAGGGUCAAGUGCCGUCACUUAUAUUGGAUCUUCUGCUGGUAUCAGUUGUGUUAACCUCCUGCUUGGCCCUCUACACUUCUUCAACAGCUGCCCUUCUCCACUCCCAGGACUCAGUAGAUGGUAUUCCUCAAGAUUUCUCUUAAUGCUUGAAACAGCCAUGGAUUCAUCCUAAUGCUGUCUGUCUCUCAAGCUCAAAUUAUGUCCAAUGUGGAAAACGUUUUUUCAGUGGCAAUGCUAAUGAAUCAAUGUGUUAUCUUUUGUCAAGCCGAGAGAGAGGGACACUUUGGUCAUUUGUAAAAUGGUGCAAAAACAUUUCCUGCAGAACAUUAGAUCAACACACAGAUGCAACCAGAGUCAUAUGCCAGAAGACUCCCUCUCAUCCCCCACUGGGAAUAGUAACAGAGAAGAUCCUGUUGAAACCUAUGGAGGAAUGUUCUAGCCCAAGCAAUACACCACCAGGAGAUGUUCCAGACAGUAUGUUCAUUGACCUGCUGUGUUGACAGGUGGCAGAGCUACACCGACUGACUCUUGCAAUUAUUCUCUAUGUAAAUAGGACAGACAUCUUGUCCCUCUCUAUGGUCUGUGUCCCCAGGAGCGCUGUGGGGCCUCUGGCUACUUCACGCUGGGGACAUUAACCUCAUGUUCCUCAGCCCGGCUGACCUAAACUAACCCCACUCCAGCCUCAGCCCUAUAGCCAUCCAUCUCUCCCUCUCUCAUUCAGUAAGUCAUUGAGGCAGAACAUGGCUUCAGACAGCAGCCUGGUAGGGGGUCCAUGGCCACUGGUUGCUCUGACUUGCACUAUACAAGUACUACAGUAUACCGUGGUGCUUGGUGGGCUGUAGUUCUGUGGAAUGCUGUUACUCCUGCUGGCUCAGAUAUGAUAGCGGGAUUUGCUUGCUGUUGUGAUCUUAUAUCUGUCUGCAGAUGUUGAACUACAUGUUUUACUCCUUCUCUGUUGAGUUUCUGGGCUUGUGUGAUAUGCUUUGUACAGCUGUUUGAGGGAAGGCUUGUACUGAAUUGACUGAAAUUGUUUACAGGUUUGUGAUGAGAUAGACACAGACAUCAGAGUAGUCAUGACGACCUCUCAUGAGGAAUGAUGAAAUCAGUUAUUUGAUUUUGUUAUGGUCAAAAGUCUAAGACAUGGAACUGACAGUGGGAAGAGAAUAAGUCCUAUUAACGUUAUAUCUUGCAAUAGAUCCUAACCUUCUUGUCAGGUGAAAUAACAUCAUUCAGAAUGCUAUAGUUAGCAUCCAUUUUAGGAAAGCUACAUCUUGAAGUGUGAGGGUCAUUGGGACUAAUGAAGGGGCAUGUCUAAUGAUAUGAGAUACCAUGUCACCUUAUCAUACAUUGUACUAUGGUGGGUCACCUCUCUGUGCAACACACCUAUUUUUCUAUGAUGAAAAACUGUGUGCAGAAAUAUUUUAAAAGUGUGUUUUUUAAACUGUUCUUUAAUGUGACUGAUAGUUACUUUUGCCUUAAUAUGUAUUUUGUUGUUGUGUAGAAUUAUGAAAAUGAUAUUACUAACCUAAUUGCUUGACCAAAGUAUGAGUUUGACAUUCAUGAGAAAGUACAUUGUAUCUACUUGAUAUUUUGUCUUGUAUACAUUUAAGUAUAUGCUGGAAUGGAGUCAUGUGUGUUUGUGUGUGUGUGUGUGUGUGUGUGUGUGUGUGUGUGUGUGUGUGUGUGUGUGUGUGUGUGUGUGUGUGUGUGUGUGUGUGUGUGUGUGUGUGUGUGUGUGUGUGUGUGUGUGUGUGUGCGUGCGCGUGCUUAUGUGUACGUUUCUGUGUAUUUAAGUAUUACGUUUCUGUAUAAUCAAGUAUUUAUGGUGUAAAUACCUGGAGCUACAAUAUGCUCCUGAACAUGAAAGUAAAGACCAUGUAUUCUGGAAGGAGAAGUCGAAGGUUGUUCAGUGUUGCCUGUUAAAAGCAGGAGUAUGGUUCAGAUUUAAGAUGAGUGUCUCACCAAGGAUUACACUAGUAAGGUUUGUAUAACUGUCAAGAAAGAGCAAGAGCUUUAGUGUUGCCUCAGGGUUUAGUUUCAAACCCAUUGACUGGAGAAGAAUCUCUGUUGGUUGAAAUCAGAAGCUUAGAGAGAGUGAGUGAAAGAGUUAGUUGUUUGCUUUCCUCUUUUGUUUAACCUCAUAGAGUAACACAGCUUUGAGACAGUAUCUAAGCUUACUAAACUAAUGACAGAACAGUAGCUAUAUUUAAAACAUGAAUGUAAAAAGUCCCAGUAACUCCAUCCCUAUAAUGUCAAUAACAUACCAGCAACAUUGUCUGGGUGAAUACUGUUGAAAGAAUGAUAUACAGUUUGACUUGUGAUUUGUAUCUUGAUCAUUCCCAUCAGUAUAAUGUGUUGUACACUGUAUGAUAAUCGCUGUAUUUUCGACGACACUACCAUAGACUACCAUGUACACUAAGACAUUUACAGUGAUUCUGAUUUCAGCUGGCCUGUUUCCUAUAAAAAUGUGGUGUGAAAGGAAAAAAUUUAUUGCCAUUAAAUAUUUAACAUAAUUUAGGUAAAUUAAGUGAUAUUUGUUUAUUUAUUGUCAUGCUAUUCUAUCUUGAGGUAAACUAUAUGGUCAGAGUUGCACUGCUGCAGAAAUCCAAUAGAACAUUUUGUUCAGAUUUAAUGUAGUUGAAACAUUUGUUUAUAUGAUAUGGUUUCCUGUAAUUGUGUUCUUGGACUUCAACCAUCUCUCACUAUCCUGUCAGUAAUAAAAAGAAAAAGAGCACAGACAGAGGCUCAAUUUGA